ensembl:snRNA U6 U6 spliceosomal RNA
AAAUUACUUUAGCAACAUUUACGUGGAGCUUGGAAUAAUACUGAGAUUAACAUGGUCCCUGCACAAAGAUAGCAUUCAAAUUAUAGUAGGAGUCCAUUUUCUG